rnacentral:rRNA from 1 species
UGGGGAAUCUUGCGCAAUGGGGGAAACCCUGACGCAGCGACGCCGCGUGCGGGAUGAAGGCCUUCGGGUUGUAAACCGCUUUCAGCAGGGACGAGGCCUUAUGGUGACGGUACCUGCAGAAGAAGCUCCGGCUAAAUACGUGCCAGCAGCCGCGGUAAUACGUAUGGAGCAAGCGUUAUCCGGAUUCAUUGGGCGUAAAGAGCUCGUAGGCGGUUUGUCGCGUCUGCUGUGAAAGACCGGGGCUUAACUCCGGGGCUGCAGUGGGUACGGGCAGGCUGGAGUGCGGUAGGGGUAACCGGAAUUCCUGGUGUAGCGGUGGAAUGCGCAGAUAUCAGGAGGAACACCGAUGGCGAAGGCAGGUUACUGGGCCGUUACUGACGCUGAGGAGCGAAAGCAUGGGGAGCGAACAGG